UUUUGAAGUUUUUUUUUUUUCUCUCAGGACGAACGCUGGCGGCGUGCCUAAUACAUGCAAGUCGAGCGGACAGAUGGGAGCUUGCUCCCUGAUGUUAGCGGCGGACGGGUGAGUAACACGUGGGUAACCUGCCUGUAAGACUGGGAUAACUCCGGGAAACCGGGGCUAAUACCGGAUGGUUGUUUGAACCGCAUGGUUCAAACAUAAAAGGUGGCUUCGGCUACCACUUACAGAUGGACCCGCGGCGCAUUAGCUAGUUGGUGAGGUAACGGCUCACCAAGGCAACGAUGCGUAGCCGACCUGAGAGGGUGAUCGGCCACACUGGGACUGAGACACGGCCCAGACUCCUACGGGAGGCAGCAGUAGGGAAUCUUCCGCAAUGGACGAAAGUCUGACGGAGCAACGCCGCGUGAGUGAUGAAGGUUUUCGGAUCGUAAAGCUCUGUUGUUAGGGAAGAACAAGUACCGUUCGAAUAGGGCGGUACCUUGACGGUACCUAACCAGAAAGCCACGGCUAACUACGUGCCAGCAGCCGCGGUAAUACGUAGGUGGCAAGCGUUGUCCGGAAUUAUUGGGCGUAAAGGGCUCGCAGGCGGUUUCUUAAGUCUGAUGUGAAAGCCCCCGGCUCAACCGGGGAGGGUCAUUGGAAACUGGGGAACUUGAGUGCAGAAGAGGAGAGUGGAAUUCCACGUGUAGCGGUGAAAUGCGUAGAGAUGUGGAGGAACACCAGUGGCGAAGGCGACUCUCUGGUCUGUAACUGACGCUGAGGAGCGAAAGCGUGGGGAGCGAACAGGAUUAGAUACCCUGGUAGUCCACGCCGUAAACGAUGAGUGCUAAGUGUUAGGGGGUUUCCGCCCCUUAGUGCUGCAGCUAGGUGCAUUAAUGCACUCCGCCUGGGGAGUACGGUCGCAAGACUGAAACUCAAAGGAAUUGACGGGGGCCCGCACAAGCGGUGGAGGAUGGGGUUUAAUUCGAAGCAACGCGAAGAACCUUACCAGGUCUUGACAUCCUCUGACAAUCCUAGAGAUAGGACGUCCCCUUCGGGGGCAGAGUGACAGGUGGUGCAUGGUUGUCGUCAGCUCGUGUCGUGAGAUGUUGGGUUAAGUCCCGCAACGAGCGCAACCCUUGAUCUUAGUUGCCAGCAUUCAGUUGGGCACUCUAAGGUGACUGCCGGUGACAAACCGGAGGAAGGUGGGGAUGACGUCAAAUCAUCAUGCCCCUUAUGACCUGGGCUACACACGUGCUACAAUGGACAGAACAAAGGGCAGCGAAACCGCGAGGUUAAGCCAAUCCCACAAAUCUGUUCUCAGUUCGGAUCGCAGUCUGCAACUCGACUGCGUGAAGCUGGAAUCGCUAGUAAUCGCGGAUCAGCAUGCCGCGGUGAAUACGUUCCCGGGCCUUGUACACACCGCCCGUCACACCACGAGAGUUUGUAACACCCGAAGUCGGUGAGGUAACCUUUUAGGAGCCAGCCGCCGAAGGUGGGACAGAUGAUUGGGGUGA
rnacentral:rRNA from 1 species